rnacentral:rRNA from 1 species
GACGAACGCUGGCGGCAUGCUUAACACAUGCAAGUCGAACGGAAAGGCCCUGCUUUUGUGGGGUGCUCGAGUGGCGAACGGGUGAGUAACACGUGAGUAACCUGCCCUUGACUUUGGGAUAACUUCAGGAAACUGGGGCUAAUACCGGAUAGGAGCUCCUGCUGCAUGGUGGGGGUUGGAAAGUUUCGGCGGUUGGGGAUGGACUCGCGGCUUAUCAGCUUGUUGGUGGGGUAGUGGCUUACCAAGGCUUUGACGGGUAGCCGGCCUGAGAGGGUGACCGGCCACAUUGGGACUGAGAUACGGCCCAGACUCCUACGGGAGGCAGCAGUGGGGAAUAUUGCACAAUGGGCGGAGGCCUGAUGCAGCAACGCCGCGUGCGGGAUGACGGCCUUCGGGUUGUAAACCGCUUUCGCCUGUGACGAAGCGUGAGUGACGGUAAUGGGUAAAGAAGCACCGGCUAACUACGUGCCAGCAGCCGCGGUGAUACGUAGGGUGCGAGCGUUGUCCGGAUUUAUUGGGCGUAAAGGGCUCGUAGGUGGUUGAUCGCGUCGGAAGUGUAAUCUUGGGGCUUAACCCUGAGCGUGCUUUCGAUACGGGUUGACUUGAGGAAGGUAGGGGAGAAUGGAAUUCCUGGUGGAGCGGUGGAAUGCGCAGAUAUCAGGAGGAACACCAGUGGCGAAGGCGGUUCUCUGGGCCUUUCCUGACGCUGAGGAGCGAAAGCGUGGGGAGCGAACAGGCUUAGAUACCCUGGUAGUCCACGCUGUAAACGGUGGGUACUAGGUGUGGGGUCCAUUCCACGGGUUCCGUGCCGUAGCUAACGCUUUAAGUACCCCGCCUGGGGAGUACGGCCGCAAGGCUAAAACUCAAAGGAAUUGACGGGGCCCCGCACAAGCGGCGGAGCAUGCGGAUUAAUUCGAUGCAACGCGUAGAACCUUACCUGGGUUUGACAUGGAUCGGGAGUGCUCAGAGAUGGGUGUGCCUCUUUUGGGGUCGGUUCACAGGUGGUGCAUGCCUGUCGUCAGCUCGUGUCGUGAGAUGUUGGGUUAAGUCCCGCAACGAGCGCAACCCUUGUUCACUGUUGCCAGCACGUUAUGGUGGGGACUCAGUGGAGACCGCCGGGGUCAACUCGGAGGAAGGUGGGGAUGACGUCAAGUCCUCAUGCCCCUUAUGUCCAGGGCUUCACGCAUGCUACAAUGGCUGGUACAGAGAGUGGCGAGCCUGUGAGGGUGAGCGAAUCUCGGAAAGCCGGUCUCAGUUCGGAUUGGGGUCUGCAACUCGACCUCAUGAAGUCGGAGUCGCUAGUAAUCGCAGAUCAGCAACGCUGCGGUGAAUACGUUCCCGGGGCU